CGCGGGGUAGAGCAGUUGGUAGCUCGCUGGGCUCAUAUCCCAGAAGUCGUUGGUUCGACUCCAACUCCCGCAA
rnacentral:tRNA from 1 species